UUCCCCUCUUCUCCUUCUCUGCCAUCAUCUUCUGUGUAAGGUGGUGGCUUUUGCUACAAAACCUAGUCCCUUCUGUUCCUCCUUACCCUUCUCCUUUAAGAAGAAUCUCUUUCUCAGCCCCCCGAGCUCCUCCACCUCCAUCUCUGAUGAGAUGGAGGAGCUCAGACCUGUAGAACAACCCCUAUCUCCUAGAUACAUCUUUAAUGCUGACUGUCCUCAGAAAUGGAAGACUAACCGAAGAUCGCGGCCUCACAUCAGCCUCGUACGUGACGGGGCUGCGCUGAGGUGAUGGAGUCCACUUUGGUCGCAUCUUUGAGGACCAAUGACGGUGUGCCUCAGUGCUUGUGGCCGCGGCUGGAUCAUGGAAAGAAACUGCAUCUCAGCUCCUGUUGUGUCCACUGGGAUGCAAGUCAAGACUUCUAAUGCCAUCACCAGGUGAUGCCGCUCACGGGGAAGCUCAAAGGGAAGAAGGCUCGAAGCAGAUUUGUAACAGGAGCACACCAGAUGGGAGGAAAAGUGAAUGCCCAUUUGGUGCGAAAGAAGCAAAGAAGUUCCCUGAGAGCGCUAAAAGAGGUUGACUAAAUGAUUGCUCGUUUAUGUCAGAUUUUGUAGAAGACUCAUUUAUUGUAAAAGAACAAAAGCAGUUCCUGUUAAUGUUAACAUUAAUUAUAGAGGAUAAGGAUGUAAAUGAAAAUUCUUUUACAAGCUUGUUGUUUCUUCUU